rnacentral:rRNA from 1 species
CGACCGGCGCACGGGUGAGUAACGCGUAUCCAACCUGCCUUACACUCUUGGACAGCCUUCUGAAAGGGAGAUUAAUACAAGAUGUUAUCAUGAGUAAGCAUUUCCGCAUGAUUAAAGGUUUACCGGUGUAAGAUGGGGAUGCGUUCCAUUAGAUAGUAGGCGGGGUAACGGCCCACCUAGUCUUCGAUGGAUAGGGGUUCUGAGAGGAAGGUCCCCCACAUUGGAACUGAGACACGGUCCAA